AGAAGUUGCAGAGGAAGCGGAAGACUAGGGUAGUCGGAGUGGCGGAACUCGGGACUGACGUUCCCCCCAGACAGACAAGCAGUGAGAUCUGGCGAUGUGCCAAAUUCUCAGACGUGGAUGAGGAAAGCACGCAACUGAGAAAAACGACGAGUGAGCCGGACUGCCUGGACCUCGUCAUGCCCUUUGAACCCUUCCCAGAGAACAAGCGGGAUCAUUUCCCAAGAUUCCCUGCGGAGGACAACUCCAACCACCCGAACCACAACAACAACAGGGUCCGCACGGUGUUGGACACCAGCGGUUGUCAUAGCAACGGUUGCCAUAACAACAGUUGCCAUGGACACCACGGCCAUAACAACAGUUGCCAUGGACACCACCACGGCCACGCCCGGGUGAUAAACGUUCGCUCUGCCUGGACAGAAGAGGUCGUGGCAGCGAGAGACGUCGAAACUACUGUGGUGCGAUCCAUUCCGGACAACAGAGUCAUGAUUACAAGGUGACCUGCUGCGGGAUGCAACUGGAGCAACCAAUACGUACUGAAGACUCUCAAUCUCCAAUUCAUCUUCACUUGACACUAAUAACUGCACGGAAGCGACGGGAUGAUUCUUACUUAACUCUGACGAGGCGCUCGUCCUCAUUUCUCAGUCUUCCCUACAUCCAACCAUUCCAGUAAAUUAGCCCACAAGAGACACUUUAUAAAAUAAUGGUGCCAUCCAGCUUUUAGCCAGAUAUCGAGAUUCCUCGCAUUCAAUAUCAAUGAGAAGUUACCAAGCUGCUCCAGAUUGUGUUAUAAGGUGGAUGCUAGCAAUAGCUGUAAACAUUGGUUGCACCAAUUCAUUCCUAUUUACGACAAUCCACAUUGGAAAGUGUUCUUCACCUGUAAUACGUAGUGCGGUACGCAGUAGGGAAAACUGAGUAAAUGAAGAUGCACACACAUGUAAUAUACAGAAGUCGCCGAUCCAUUUUCUCUCUUAUUGUAUAUCCAGAAUUCAGAAUUACCGACUCCUUGCGGGUUGAGGAGGUCGACUACCGAAUUUCAAGAUUAACCAGUUUCUAUGAAACGUUCCAUAAAGUGCUUGGAAACAGCCAUAGAGGUGAUAUCAUGUUCGUUACGCGAAGUAAAGCAAUGACAGGGUGA